rnacentral:tRNA from 1 species
GGCAGUGUAGCCCAGAGGUUCAAGGGCAUUCGCUCUGGUAUCAGAAGGGUCUGGGUUCAAAUCCCUUGUGCACUGCUU